UUGUUUUAGAAGAUGUGUGGGAAGACGAAGUCAUUGAUCACGUAAUGAAAGUUUUCGCAGAAAACAAAAAGGGUCAUCGGAUUAUGAUGACCACACGUGACUCACGUGUUGCUAAAUUUGCCAAUCUAGAACCUCAUGAGCUGAAAUUCUUGAAGAAAGAAGAAACUUUUGAAUUGUUGGUACUUGCUUUUAAAAUAUAAAUUUACCAUAAACUACAUAGUAUAAUUGUAGAAGUGUUCAACUAAAUGUUAUAGUUAAAAACUUUCCAUUUCUAAGAAAAAUAAAGGGAAAAAGGACAAAUAUACCCUCGAACUAUCGUAAAUGGUAUGCAUAUACCUUCCGUCAUACUUUUGGGACACUGGUGCCCCUGCCGCUAAAAAGCUAGAGCAUAUAUGCCCUUCACUCUAACGGAAGACUAAAUAGGGACACGUGGUACAAUCUUAUCCAUCGAUCCGAUAUUUAAUAAAUGUCGAAUUGGUGGAAAAGAUUAUGACACGUGUAUGUCCAUUAGUAUAAAGGGUAUAUAUGCCCUAGUUUUUGGACGGCAGAUGCACCAAUAUCCCAAAAAUAUGACAGAGGGUAUUUGUAUACCAUUUACGAUAGUUCAGGGAUAUAUUUAUUUAUUUUCCGAAAAAUAUAUAUUACCUUGUGAAAUUUCUUAACCGGCCAAAAUUUCUCAAGAAAACAUAAAAAUUUGCAGCGAGCCUUCAAAUUAGCUGCCAAGCCAAAGCACCAGCAAACUUUGCAGGUGCUAAUGGUUUAAUAUAACCAUUUUUUUAAAAAAAAUCUGUAUAAAUAUACGAAUUUACGUCGGAAUUAAUGGAUGCUCGAUGUGGGUCCACCCCUGCCUAUUUGCAUUUAAAGUAAGAAUACAGAACGAAGACUUAACUAAAAACUCAGUCAACUUACAUUUUAAAAUAAGAACACAAAACAAAGACUUAUAAAAAUGAUUGGGUCUACUUAAAAUAACAUUAUUUUUAUUUAUAUAACAGCUGUGGUGAUGUGAAGAUGUCAUUACAAGCUAAUAGUUGAAAAAAAAAAAAUCUUGUUAGAUUGUAAUAACAAAUUGUAAGGAGAUAUGGCAGAUGCAGUGGUGAAUUUUCUGGUAGAGAAUUUGUUGCAGCUAAUAAAAGAAAAUGCGAAGCUAAUUGGAAGUGCAAAAGGAGAAUUGGACAAUCUACAUAAAGUUGCUCAACAACUCAAAGCAUUUUUAGAUGAUGCUGCAAAAUUCGGAUACACGAAUAGUGAGCAGUGGAAAGUUAUGGUGAUCGAAAUACAUAAAACUAUGCACAGAGCUGAAGAUGCAAUUGAUAAAUUUCUGGUUCAAGCAAAGAUGCAUCAAGAUAAAAAUAUGAUCGAAAAGAUGCUCGAUUGGCCAAGUCAUCUGAUUAAAGUUAUGAAUCUUGCUGCUGAGAUUAAAGGAAUACAUGAUCAAGUCAAAGAGCUUCGUAAAAACAAUCAAGCACUUCAGGCCACCCCUGUUCUUGAGCUCCCUAAAAAAGGGGAAGUAACUCAGGUAUAAUUCAAACUUCUUGUAAUAGCUAAUUUGUGGCCUAAAGACAAAAUUUGAGAUUCCUAAAAAAUUUUUGGGAUGGGGAAGGGGUCAGGGGUGGGGUAAGAAUAUUUGGAGGGUGGGGAGGUGGGAUUGGGUUACUGGGUAGGGCAUGUGGUAAGGUACGAAAACAAAUUAGUUUUUUUAAAAAGUUCAUCUUCUCUUGUUUAGUAUUUAAUUAUUUAAAUGUUAUAUAUAUAUAUAUAUAUGAAUGUUUUAAGACCGUCAAUAAUUGAGAGAAUAAAAUAAUUUUUUACCUCAAAUUAAUGAGUGUUUUCAAUAAAGGGCUCACACGUAUCAUUUUCAUAUACGGAAGUUAAAAAAUAUAACUUUAAUUUUUUAUUUUAUUUUUAAUUUUUGAAAAUUCAUGUAGGGAUAUACAUGAUUUUUUUGACCUGGUUGAUUAUCAUUAUUUGAGUUUUUAUUCUUAUUUUAGUUUUUCUUUUAUUCUUAAGAAAAAUGUCUGAAAUAUAUCUGAACUUUGACUGAAAUUGUUGUAACAAUUCCAAACUUUGGCCAGGACUUAUUACCCCUGCACUAUUUAAUAGUGUAUUUUAAAGAUAUAUAAGUGUCCAGAUGGACAAGUUAUUAUUUAUAAUGAUGCAAUAUUUAUGAUGUCCACGUGAUCACCUAUAUAUCUUUAAAAUAUACUACUCCCUCCGUCCAGGGCCGACUCAACAAGAUUAGGAGCCUAAAGCCAAAUCUUAAAGAGGAGCCCUAAUAUAUUUUUUUUAAAUUCUUUUUUUUAAAAAAAAAAAAAUCAUCAUAUAUACUUUUAUUUAGAAUUUACUUUUCUAGCCUUUUUAGAUGCAAAGCUAUUAAUUAUUGUUUUAUAAUUGAUGUGUUUUAAUAAUUCCUUUUCAAUUGAUAAUUUAGUUAAUCCAUUCAAUUUCUUUUGAGACAUUGUUCUUAGAUAAGAUUUUAUCAAUUUUAGUUUCGAAAAACUUCUUUCGGCCGAGGCAACAGUUACAUGAAUUGUUAAUAUUAUUCUAUAAGCAAUGCUUAGCUUUUUUAUUCAGAAUUUUUAUUUUUUGUUAAAAAAUCUAUCAAGGGCUCCUUUUUUGGAUUUAUUUAAUUCUUCAAGUUUUCUCUUUUUCUUUUGUUUUGUCAAACCGAAAUCAUAUUUUCUAGUUGACAUAUUUAAAUUGAAUAAUUUUACUAAUAACUAAAACAAGAAUAUAUAUAUACUUAUGAACUAAGAAUAUCAACAAUAACAUAUUUUCAAGAAAAAUUAUAAAAUGAAGUUAGAAUAAUAAAACAUGACUCAUGAAUUUGAUAAGUUGAUAGAACAAUAUCGAAAUAGUGUUGUGUUCCUUCAAUAUAAUGAUUGUUUGGUUCACAUCUUGAGAUUUUGAAGAAGACAUCCAUAAACAAAUUUUGUUCUUUUGUAACUUGUAAGCAAUAGUAAAACAAAAAAAAAUUGUAGGAGAGAGUUCAAUAUUGAGAAUGAAAAUAAUAAAAUAGAGAAUAAAAAAUAUGAGUAUAAGGUAAAUAAUAAUAUAGGGUCAAACUUUUAGGAGAUAAAUAAGAAAACACAAUUUCCCAUUUAAGGAAAUUAUUCCCAAAAAAUGUUUCAUUACCAUAAAAAAGUGGGAAAACUAACGGUCAUUUUUUUAAUAUUUCUUACAUGUUUUUUUUUAUAAAAUAAUUAAAAGUACAUAUAAUUUUUUUAUAUAAGUAUAUUUUUUUUUUUUAAAUUAGGGCCCCCCAAAAAUAUGGGCCCCCAAGCGAUGACUUUAGUGGCCUAGUGGUUAAGACGGCCCUGCCUCCGUCCCAUUUUUAUGUGGCACCAUUUCCUUUUUGAUCAAUCCCAAAAUGAAUGUCACAUUUUCAUAUAUGGUAAGUAUUUAAAGGUACAAUUCCUCUUUUACCAUUGUUGGUCCCACUUAAUUUUAAAGAUAGUACUCCAAUACGUUUAUGAGGAGAGUGAAAAGUGAGUCUACUUUUUAAUAUGACUAUUUUUUGAAGGGUAAUUUGGUAAACAUUUCAAAGUCUUCAUUUAUUUCUUAAACUCCGUGCUCGAUCAAUUGUUGCCACAUAAAAUGGGAUGGAGGGAGUAUUAAAUAGUGCAGGAGAUAAUAUGUUCUGCCUAAAGUUUGGAAUUGUUACAUCAAUUUCGAUCAAAGUUCGCAUAUAUUUUGAACCAUUUUCUCUUUAUUCUUUAAUGUAAACAUAUAAGAAAUAAUAAGAAAUAAGUGUGAAUGGGAAAAGAGAGAAAAGUAAGAAUUUUUUAAAGUUAUAUUAUAGUUUAAAACUACUUUUUUGUUGUUAUAUUUUAAUUUAAUUUUUGUAUUAGUAAAAAAAAUGGGGCAAUUAUAAUAAAUUUUAUAAGAUAAUUAGAAAAAAUAAAUUUGACCAUCAAAAUAAUAAAUUUAAAUUAGUCAUUGAAUUAAAGAAGUAAAAAAAAUACAUGUGAGAAAGGCCAAAUAUACUCCUACAUGAAUUAUUUUUAGGGAAAAGGGUCUCAAAAAUACUCCAACUUUGGCCGAAAUUGUUGUUACGAUACCAAACUUUUAUGCAGGACCUUUUACCCCCUGAACUAUUUAAUAGUGUAUUUUUACCUCCCUGAACUAUUUAAUAGUGUAUUUUAAAGGUAUAUAUGUGUCCAUGUGGACACAUUACUAUUUAUUAUAAUGCAAUAUUUUUUAUGUCCACGUGGGCUGUAUAUACCUUUAAAAUACAUUAUUAAAUAGUGCAGGGGGGUAAAAGGUCCUUUCCAAAGUUUGGUAUCGUAACAACAAUUUCAGUCAAAGUUCGGAUAUAUUUCUGACCCUUUCCCCUGAUUUUUAAAUACAAUUUUUUUUUUUUAAAAAUAAAAUAAAUUCACUUCGUUUAGAGGAAAAUGGUAUAUGUGAGCAAUUUGUGUAAUAGUAAGGAUAAUAUGAGCUAUGAGAAGUAUAUUAGACCUUUUUUCUAGAAUUAACAUAGUGUCUUUUAACUUGGACUCAACUCAUAUUUAUGUCUUUCAAUUUUGGGUGUGCAUAAAUAAACACUUAUUUGUUGACUUUAUCCUCACCGGUUAAUAUGGAGUUGUUUUUACCUUGUCGUUACUAUUCUUAUCACCCGUACCCCUCUUUUAGAUGGAAAACCCCAAAUCAACUAAAAUCACCCAAUUUCGAUUAAAAUAACCCAAUUUUCUUUUUUAAUCUGAAUCCAACCCACUAAACCAAAUGAAUUCGUAUCAAAUUAAAAUUCCAAAUCCAUCUCUCUAAUCUUCUUCAUCUCCUUCCUCCAUUGGGAUUUUAAUUUGGUAUGAAUUCAUUUGUUUUAGUGGGUCGAAUUCGACUUAAAAGAAAACAUCGGGUCAUUCUAAUUGAAUUUGGGUAAGUUUAGUUUAUUUGGGGCUUUUCAUCCAAUUGAGAGAUAUGGGUGACAGGUAUAAUAAUGGCGAGGAUAAAAACAACUUCAAAGUAAAUUAAUAAAUGAAGUUGAGGGUAUUUUUGAACCUUUUCCCUUCAAACAAUUAUAUUUCAAUUGACAAAAUAGCUAAUCAAUUUUAUGCUUGACAUAAUACAUAAAUGUGCCCUUUAACUUGACCUUAUUUCACAUUUAUGCCCUUCAACUUUGGUAUGCGCAAGUAGGCAUUUAAACUUGUAUAAACUUGAACAAGUAGACACAUGAGUCCUACGUGGAACAAUACACGUAGGACAAAAAAUGACAUGUAGGAUGCCAUGUAGGACAUGUGUGUCUAUUUGUUCAACUUUAUACAAGUUUAGGUGUCUACUUGUGCACACCUAAAGUUGAAGAAUUUGAAGUCAAGUUAAAGGACAUAUUUAUGCAUUAUGCCUUUAUCGGGAAAAUGCAUAAGUACCCCCUCAGCCUAUGCCCAAAAUCCCUGAGACACACCUAACAUUUACUAAGGUCCUAUUACCUGCUCGAACUUAUUUUUUAAUUAAUUUUCUACCCCUUUUUGGCCUACGUGGCACUAUCCUUGAAAAAAUUGUCAACACGCGCUGGGCCCACAAGAUAGUGCCACGUAGGCCAGAAAGGGGUAGAAAAUUAUAUAUAAAAUAAGUUCGGGGGGUAAUAAGACCUUAGUAAAUGUUAGGUGUGUCUUAGGAAUUUUGAGCAUAGGCUGGGAGGAUACUUGUGCAUUUUCCCUGCCUUUAUGCUUCAUCUGUCUCAAUUUAUAUAGUCACUUUAUUUUUUUGGUCAGGCAGAAGAAUGACAUGUUUUUAUAUUUGGUAACAAUUUAACUUUUAAAUGUUUGUUUUAGCCUUAAUAAAAUGGACUUACUUGAGAUGUAUAAGUUGUGAAGAUCAGCCAUUCUGUUUUCUGAUGUGAUUCAUAUGUUUAAAAGGGUCCUUCUUUGGAGAAUGAUGCAGUGGUCGGGUUUGAUGAAGAAGCUAACACAGUGAUCAAGCGACUUGUUGAAGGAUCGAUGGAAAGUGUCGAUAUUAUCCCAGUGGUGGGGAUGCCCGGACUUGGAAAAACUACACUGGCAAGAAAAAUCUGUAAUGAUUCUAAGCUUACAUAUGAAUUUUACAGCAUUGUUUGGGUUUAUGUCGGUCAGGAAUGCAAAGCAAAGGAUAUUUAUCUUAGGAUUCUUAAAUUCUUCAAAAAGAACAUAGAAGAUCAUCUCAAUGAUGAUGUGGACACAUUGGCCAAGGCAAUAGGUGGUUAUAUCAAGAAAGGAGGUAGAUGUCUCAUUGUUUUAGAUGAUGUGUGGGAAGACGAAGUCAUUGAUCACGUAAUGAAAGUUUUCGCAGAAAACAAAAGGGUCAUCGGAUUAUGAUGACCACACGUGACUCACGUGUUGCUAAAUUUGCCAAUCCAGAACCUCAUGAGCUGAAAUUCUUGAAGAAAGAAGAAACUUUUGAAUUGUUGGUAAUGAGAGUUUUUGGCAAGGGAAGUUGUCCAAAUGAUUUAGUGAGAACUGGGAAAAAAAUUGCAGAAAAAUGUGGUGGAGUACCACUUGUAGUAGUGG
rnacentral:lncRNA from 1 species